AUGCAAGUCGAGCGGUAGCACAGAGAGCUUGCUCUCGGGUGACGAGCGGCGGACGGGUGAGUAAUGUCUGGGAAACUGCCUGAUGGAGGGGGAUAACUACUGGAAACGGUAGCUAAUACCGCAUAACGUCGCAAGACCAAAGUGGGGGACCUUCGGGCCUCAUGCCAUCAGAUGUGCCCAGAUGGGAUUAGCUAGUAGGUGGGGUAAUGGCUCACCUAGGCGACGAUCCCUAGCUGGUCUGAGAGGAUGACCAGCCACACUGGAACUGAGACACGGUCCAGACUCCUACGGGAGGCAGCAGUGGGGAAUAUUGCACAAUGGGCGCAAGCCUGAUGCAGCCAUGCCGCGUGUGUGAAGAAGGCCUUCGGGUUGUAAAGCACUUUCAGCGGGGAGGAAGGCGAUAAGGUUAAUAACCUUGUCGAUUGACGUUACCCGCAGAAGAAGCACCGGCUAACUCCGUGCCAGCAGCCGCGGUAAUACGGAGGGUGCAAGCGUUAAUCGGAAUUACUGGGCGUAAAGCGCACGCAGGCGGUCUGUCAAGUCGGAUGUGAAAUCCCCGGGCUCAACCUGGGAACUGCAUUCGAAACUGGCAGGCUAGAGUCUUGUAGAGGGGGGUAGAAUUCCAGGUGUAGCGGUGAAAUGCGUAGAGAUCUGGAGGAAUACCGGUGGCGAAGGCGGCCCCCUGGACAAAGACUGACGCUCAGGUGCGAAAGCGUGGGGAGCAAACAGGAUUAGAUACCCUGGUAGUCCACGCCGUAAACGAUGUCGAUUUGGAGGUUGUGCCCUUGAGGCGUGGCUUCCGGAGCUAACGCGUUAAAUCGACCGCCUGGGGAGUACGGCCGCAAGGUUAAAACUCAAAUGAAUUGACGGGGGCCCGCACAAGCGGUGGAGCAUGUGGUUUAAUUCGAUGCAACGCGAAGAACCUUACCUGGUCUUGACAUCCACAGAACUUGCAGAGAUGCUUUGGUGCCUUCGGGAACUGUGAGACAGGUGCUGCAUGGCUGUCGUCAGCUCGUGUUGUGAAAUGUUG
rnacentral:rRNA from 1 species